ACAAUGUCACGAUGGUAAUUCAACCUAGUACGAGAGGAACGAACCGUUGAUUGGCACAAUUGGUAAUCGCGCUUGGGUUGAAAAGCUAGUGGCGCGAGGCUACUGUGUGCUGGAUUAUGACUGAACGCCUCUAAGUCAGAAUUCGGGCCAGAAACGAUGCAUGUGCCCGUCACUUGAUUGUCGUCCUACAGUAGGGGUUUCGGCCCCCAAGGGUAAGUGUCGUAGGCUAAGCCAGCGCGAGGGAUGCGCCGUGAGGGCCGCCUUGAAGUAUAAUUCCUACCGAGUGGCGGGUUCAAUCCUUUGCAGACGACUUAAAUACGCGGCAGGGUAUUGUAAGUGGCAGAGUGGUCAUACUGCCACGAUCCACUGAGAUUCAGCCCUAUGUCGCUUCGAUCC
rfam:Beta vulgaris subsp. vulgaris Bvchr3.sca003.con0072.1, whole genome shotgun sequence.